rnacentral:misc_RNA from 1 species
UACACACACACCUCAACUAUUUCACGGGAUACCUGCUACCUCCCACAGCCACAAACACAACAAAGUACUAGUUAACACUGACUAAUUCAAGAAUCCCCCAUGAACAACGUUCAACCACUCAAGUAAUCACAAAUUCAAAACCCCAGAUAUCAUACUCAACCCAUUAUCUCCAGUGAGUUGCAAAUUCAGAUUCCACAAGCAAAAACAAACACAAAAAAAAUUGGAAGUUUAUAUGUAAAAAUCUGAUCUUUUACCACAAACUCCCCAUAACUCCUCAAAACUAAUCAAAUUCACUUGAGGAAACAAUAAAAUCCACUGACCCAUAUAUCAAAAUCAAUUCUUUACCUCAAAUCAAG